rnacentral:rRNA from 1 species
UACAGAGGGUGCAAGCGUUGUUCGGAAUCAUUGGGCGUAAAGGGCGUGUAGGCGGUUUGUUAAGUCAUGUGUGAAAUCCCUCGGCUCAACCGGGGAACGACGCAUGAAACUGGCAAGCUAGAGUACCAAAGAGGGCGGUGGAAUUCCAGGUGUAGCGGUGAAAUGCGUAGAUAUCUGGAGGAACACCGGUGGCGAAGGCGGCAUCCUGGACCAUGACUGACGCUGAGGAGCGAAAGCCAGGGGAGCAAACGGG